rnacentral:lncRNA from 14 species
GCCAGCAAUAAUCCCUUGUAUAACACAGCCCUGGCUGGCUGGGCUGUCUCUUUAAGGUGGUUGGGACAGCCUGGGGUAGAGGAGGGACCAGCCCAGGGGAGACCUGGGAGGAUGGGAGCCAGGCAAUGGGGAAUCAGCCUGGAGAGGGUUCAAAGGUGGUGGUAGAGCUGCUGCUAAGAAAAACCUGCUUCAUUUCCACUAAGGACCUUGUCUGCUCUUGCUGCCCUUGAAGCAAGCAGCUUGGCCACUCUGAAUCCUGCCUGAGCAGACAAGGGUGCUCAUCCUUCCCCAGAAAGAGAGAAAUGAUGCAAUAGAGCAU